AGAGUUUGAUUCUGGCUCAGGAUGAACGCUGGCGGCGUGCUUAACACAUGCAAGUCGAACGAAGCAAUUAAGCGGAAGUUUCGGAUGGAAGCUUAAUUGACUUAGUGGCGGACGGGUGAGUAACCCGUGGGUAACCUGCCUUAUACUGGGGGAUAACAGUUGGAAACGACUGCUAAUACCGCAUAAUAAAGAAUAUCGCAUGAUUUUCUUUUGAAAUAUUUAUAGGUAUAAGAUGGACCCGCGUCUGAUUAGCUAGUUGGUGAGGUAACUGCUCACCAAGGCGACGAUCAGUAGCCGGCUUGAGAGAGUGACCGGCCACAUUGGGACUGAGACACGGCCCAAACUCCUACGGGAGGCAGCAGUGGGGAAUAUUGCACAAUGGGGGAAACCCUGAUGCAGCGACGCCGCGUGAGUGAAGAAGUAUUUCGGUAUGUAAAGCUCUAUCAGCAGGGAAGAUAAUGACGGUACCUGACUAAGAAGCCCCGGCUAACUACGUGCCAGCCGCCGC
rnacentral:rRNA from 1 species